GCUUACACAUGCAAGUCGAACGAUGAAGCCCAGCUUGCUGGGUGGAUUAGUGGCGAACGGGUGAGUAACACGUGAGCAACCUGCCCCUGACUCUGGGAUAAGCGCUGGAAACGGCGUCUAAUACUGGAUACGAGUAGCGAUCGCAUGGUCAGUUACUGGAAAGAUUUUUUGGUUGGGGAUGGGCUCGCGGCCUAUCAGCUUGUUGGUGAGGUAAUGGCUCACCAAGGCGUCGACGGGUAGCCGGCCUGAGAGGGUGACCGGCCACACUGGGACUGAGACACGGCCCAGACUCCUACGGGAGGCAGCAGUGGGGAAUAUUGCACAAUGGGCGGAAGCCUGAUGCAGCAACGCCGCGUGAGGGAUGACGGCCUUCGGGUUGUAAACCUCUUUUAGCAGGGAAGAAGCGAGAGUGACGGUACCUGCAGAAAAAGCGCCGGCUAACUACGUGCCAGCAGCCGCGGUAAUACGUAGGGCGCAAGCGUUAUCCGGAAUUAUUGGGCGUAAAGAGCUCGUAGGCGGUUUGUCGCGUCUGCUGUGAAAUCCCGAGGCUCAACCUCGGGCCUGCAGUGGGUACGGGCAGACUAGAGUGCGGUAGGGGAGAUUGGAAUUCCUGGUGUAGCGGUGGAAUGCGCAGAUAUCAGGAGGAACACCGAUGGCGAAGGCAGAUCUCUGGGCCGUAACUGACGCUGAGGAGCGAAAGGGUGGGGAGCAAACAGGCUUAGAUACCCUGGUAGUCCACCCCGUAAACGUUGGGAACUAGUUGUGGGGUCCAUUCCACGGAUUCCGUGACGCAGCUAACGCAUUAAGUUCCCCGCCUGGGGAGUACGGCCGCAAGGCUAAAACUCAAAGGAAUUGACGGGGACCCGCACAAGCGGCGGAGCAUGCGGAUUAAUUCGAUGCAACGCGAAGAACCUUACCAAGGCUUGACAUAUACGAGAACGGGCCAGAAAUGGUCAACUCUUUGGACACUCGUAAACAGGUGGUGCAUGGGUUGUCGUCAGCUCGUGUCGUGAGAUGUUGGGUUAAGUCCCGC
rnacentral:rRNA from 1 species